rnacentral:rRNA from 1 species
UACGUAGGGGGCUAGCGUUGUCCGGAAUCAUUGGGCGUAAAGAGCGUGUAGGCGGCCAUGUAGGUCCGGUGUGAAAACUCGAGGCUUAACCUCGAGAUGUCAUCGGAAACCAUUUGGCUAGAGUCCGGAAGAGGAGAGUGGGAUUCCUGGUGUAGCGGUGAAAUGCGCAGAUAUCAGGAAGAACACCAAUGGCGAAAGCAGCUCUCUGGGACGGUACUGACGCUGAGACGCGAAAGCGUGGGGAGCGAACAGG